AUCAAUUCAUAACUCCAUCAGCUGGUCAAACCACUCAACCUUCCUCUACUACUGAAAGUACCACUCAACCUUCGUCAACUACAGAGGAAAUCAUUCAAUCUUCCUCCACUACUGAAAGUACCACGCAAACUUUCUCUACUACAGUGGAAAUCAUUCAACCUUCCUCCACCACUGAAAAUACCACUCAACCUUCUUCCACUACUGAGGGUGCGACUCAACUUUCCUCCACUACUGAGGAUACCACUCCACCUUCCUUCACUACUAAGAAUUCUAGACCAG